CCGACAGCCUUGACAAUUUUCCGACAAUUUCCGGCAGCAUUGGCAAUUUUACGACGGGUGUCAACAAUAGGGGAGGGCCAUGCCCCCCCGGCCACGGCGCCACUGAUGACAAUCACUAGACGUAUGACGUCAUUGACGUACGUCGACGAAUGUUUUCACGAUUUCAUGUUUGUCAACAGAGCCCCCCCCCCCGGUAAAUUUAGUUCUACAGCACUGCUGCAAAGCCUUGCAAAGUCUCUAUUGCACUAUUCGUCGCCUAUUCGUGGACUAUUCGUACUAUUCGUCGACUAUUCGCGGACUAUUCGUACUAUUCGUCGACUAUUCGCGGACUAUUCGCACUAUUCGUCGACUAUUCGCGGACUAUUCGCACUAUUCGUCGACUAUUAGGGGACUAUUCGUACUAUUCGUCGACUAUUCGCACUAUUCGCACUAUUCGCUUCACUAUUCUAGUUUUAUCAAUUGCCCUAUAUCAUAUCCAGGAUUGCUUGUGUGUAAACGGAUUAUUCACUAUAUGACAGCUCUGAUAUGACACUAUCAAAUAAAUAUAAGUAGCAAAUGAUUAAUGAAUUCGAGAUAAACAGGUGAUUCACAAUGAAAACUUUAAAAAUGUUAGUAGAAGUAGAAAACUCGAAAAUUUAUGUCUAUUCGUAUGACGCCAAUGACGGUCUGUGCGCAUCUGACAUUGUAAAUUUGUGAUAUAGAUUAUAGUAUAUUAACACAAUAUAAUGAUUAAUAGAGACCAAGAAAAAGGCUAAAGUCUUACUAUAAUUACAGAAUACGAAUUAUGUACUAUUAAAUCCAGAUAAAUCAAUGACUGAAAUUUCCUCUAUGCUUAUGGACUCUGUUCGGCUAUUAUCAAAUGUUUACAUUUUCUAAUAUUUGGGCCAGUCCUAGACAAUACUGUUU